GUUGCCAUCAUGGUUAAUAAUACGUUAAUUAUGUCAAAUCAUCAUAAGUAUGAACAAAUAUUCUUCAAAAAAAAAAAAAGUCAGUUACAAAAAUGACAACUUAGAAUCCAGUUAUAAAAGAUGAAAAUAUAAAGGACAAUGAUCAAGUUGGUCAAAUGCUUCAACAUUUCAUCAGCAAAAAGAUCCUUGUAUAAUUUUAUAUUUUAACAUAAGAUUUUUAAUAAGUGGCUGUGGUUCUUUUACAAACUUCAAAUAAACUUUAGCAUAUAUUUUUGUGCUACUUAUCUAAGUUAUUCUAAAGUAAUACAUAAAAAUCUAGGACAGAGCAAAGAUUUACAUUUCUGUGUUUUGAGAAGGCUAACAAGACAUUGAGCCAUUACUGUAACUGAAAUAAUAAUAGACCUCAAACCAUGAACCAAAUGCAAAAAGUAUUUAGGAAUACCCUAUUUACUUAUAGGAAUCCUAUUCUAAGAUUAAGGCCUGAAAUUACUUUUAGAAAACCAAAGUCUCAAAUUGCUUCUGACACCAGCGAUUUAAGGCUCAACAAAGAAUAGACUAGUAUCUAACAACUUUUAAACACUUGGGCCUAUGUGAUUGUAUAGUUUCAAAAGUGACCUAGGAAUUCAGAAGUCUCAUUUUCAUAGACAUUUGAUACUUCGGGAAAUAUUAUUUUUAAUAGGAUUUAUAGCACAAGUGAGAAACUCUAAGCAUUAGCUAGAGUUUGGUGCUCAAAUGAGUUAAACACUUUUCCAAGUUAGACAUUAAGUAAUAAAAAAAAUAAAA